GUGCGAGACCGAUAGCGAACAAGUACCGUGAGGAAAAGAUGAAAAGAACUUUGAAAAGAGAGUUAAAGAGUACCUGAAGCUGCUGAAAGGGAAGCGAAUCGUAUCCAGUGUCUAUAAUCUGCGGCAUAUUUCAUUGGCGGCGGUGCGCGUGCUUUUGCGUCGGAAGCGGCUUUUGUUGCUCUGUGUUUUUGCUGUGCGUGGUGUUGCUGGUGCCCUGUGUUGCGGUGGGACGUCAGAGUCAGUUUGUAUGCUGCGGGAAAUGGCUGCCGAGGAGGUAGGUCGAGAUUUCGGUCUUGGCUGUUAUAUCUUGGUGGUUUGUUGUCGUGGUUGAGACUGAGGUGCCUACAAUGUGCUUUUGAGUGUACCGGGUUCUCAUUUGGUGGACUGUUUGGAUAGCUUGCUAUGCUUGUGGUUUUUUCAUCGAGUGAUUGAGUCUGGUGGUAACUUGUUGCUGUUCGGGACUUUG
rnacentral:rRNA from 2 species